AAAUUUCAAAGAACUGUUUUCCAACUCCAGUCUAACCUAAAUCCCUCUUGCAGUCGCCCCUUUUGUAGGCAUCUGAUGUUGGAAGACUAAGUACGUGGCCUUGUGAGGACUCCAGUGGCCUCUUCUGGCCGGAGCCGGUUUGUGACUGGUGCUAGACCGAACCCUGGCCACCCAAGUGCUUGGGCAGAUGUCGCCCCCCCCCCCAAAUCCAGGGUUCCACCAUGGAAAGUGUGGGGCUUGGGAACCAAAAUGGAACUUGACCAUUGCUCUCUGCCCACUUGGUACCUGCCGCCACCUCUUAGGUGCCCAAAUGAAGUCUACUUGGCACUGCUACCCGAUCUUCGGAUUUAUGAAGUCGCCCAGGACAUGGGGAGGGGGUGGUUUUAAUUCUCCUCUUUGUGCUGUCUUGCAGAGAGUUCCCUCAAAGCUCCACGCGAGUCUCGGGAAGCCAGAAACUCAAGGUACCCUGAUGCUGGGCCUCGAGUCAGCGCCGCAGCCCAAGGGACAGGGUGGAUACCUAGAUGCAACCUUAAUGGCUGAACUCUGACACACAUACCUCCAGCUCCCUCUGGCUGGAUGGGGACUUGGCGCCAACCCCACCCACCCGCCGCAACUCCCGAGACCACUGACGCACUCUCCUAUCCCAGCGCCCCCGUCGGCUCGCCAGAGCAUUGCAUUCUAAGAUUUAAAUAAGAAUACCUUCAGGCUGCUCUUCUGAUUUUUAAACGCUGUGAUGGAACAAGACUGGCAUCUGAAGACUCUUUUCUGCCAUCAGAUGAGUAUAUUGUUUCUACACAUAUGUGUCUUCCCUUUAAAUGCACUCCCGGUAGCCACAGACAUACUCUCAGGGACUGCCAGCCAAGGAGUUUUUAGUAAAGGAACUGCUACAAUGUCAGCUGGCAACCAACAAGGAAAUUAAGCUGUAUCCUCUACAGCUGCCAAAAGCUGCCCAGGCCCUGAUAUUUAAAAAUACGGACAUUCUUUUCAUAGUGCCGUUAAUUAAUGAAGCUGGGAGUGUAUCUGUAACAGUUACAAUGUGUCUUUAGGGGAAUUACUCAAUGCUAAAUUCCACUAUUCAACUAAAUUACUCAACGCUAAAUGCCCACUUGGCUAUAGUCUGCUCUUGAGUUGCAGCAGAGUCUAUCACCAGUAGAUAAAGAUGUAUGAUUCAUUUAUUUAACAAAUAUGUGUUGACCACCUACUAAGUGCAUGGCAUAGGGCUGGGCACUGGAGUGGUGAACAUGGCAGACAUGCUCUUCCCUCUUGGAGCUCACAGUCUAGAUGGAAAGAGAAGAGGUUAACAAUUAAAAUGCACUAUCAACUGUAUAAUUACUGUUGUGAUAUGGGCCAAAAGGAGUGCAAGGUAGAGAGACCAUUUGUCUGGAGAGUCCAAGGGGAGGCGACAUUUGAGUUGAGCUCUGAAGAGUGAGCAGGAUUUACUCAGGCGAGGAGCAGCAUGGAACAGAGUUCCUGGCUGGUUCAGGCUACAAAAGGGGAUGUGGUUGAGGAAGAGGUUGGAGAGGUAGGCAGGGGCUAGAUCAUGCACGGCCUACUAUACCAUUUUCAGUAAGAUCACUCUGACCACAAUGUGAAGAAGGAAUAAGGGAGGGGGAGAUGUCGGGUGAGGGACAGUUAGGAGACUGUUGCUAUAAUAUAAGUGAAAGGGGCUGCUUGUCUAAGCAGUAGAGCAAAUGGAGAGGAAUAGAUACCAACAAGACCUGGUGAUUGCUUAGCUAGGGAGGAAUCAAGGAAAGCCCCAGGUCUCUGCUUCUUCAACCAGAUGGAUGGUGGUACCAUUUUCGGAGUUGGGAGACCCUCAGAGAAGGAGGAUUGAGAAUACCAUCCCAAGGUUCACAUUUGGUCAAGGUGGAUGUGAGAUGCCUGUAUAAUGUCCAAGUGGAGAUGUUGAGUAGGUGGUUAGCUGUAGGGUCUGGUGCUCUGUGGAGAGGCUGGGACUGAAGUAGCUGGUUUGGAGGUGGUGAUAAAGUCACAAGAGUGAGAUGGCCUCCUAGGAGAGUACAGAGUUCAACCAGAAGAGAGCCUUGGACUGAGCCUGGUAGAAACCUUAUCUAAAAGCUGGACAGAGGCAAACUAUCUGGCAGAGGAGGAGGAGCAGCCAGAAAGCCUGGGGAAGUGGUGUGAUGGAGCCCAGGGAAAGAAUGUGUCAUAGGCAGUAGCCAACAACAUUCACAAUGGCUGAGAGACCCAAGGGAAAUGAGGACUGAAUAUAUCCACCAAACUGGGUGACCUUGGUGUCGCUAGGGCUUUUACGGAGCAGUGACUAGGGGAAUGAAGGGGUGAGAGAUAACUGGAGUGGAUUGAAGAGUGAGCAAAAGGUGAAAAAAUGAAGACAGGUACUGAGUACAGGCAACUCUUGAAAGGUUUGAUUGCGAAGGGUCAGAGAGAGAAAUAGCUGGAGAGGAAUGUUAUGCCAGCAGAGGGUUUAUUUUACUAUUUAUUUAUUGACUCAUUCAUUUAUUUAUUUUACGGUGGAAUAAAUUGAAUGUGUUUAAAUGCAGAUGGGAAAGGUUUUAUAGAGAAGAGGAAGAUGAAGGUACAGCAGAGAAAGGACAAUGGACAAUAUGACCAGGGGAAAGGAUGGAAGCAGAGUAUGGGUGGAAAAGCUGACCUCGUGUAGGAGGCCACCUCCUCUAUUAUAAGAGGUGAGAGGGGGAUGGGAGCAGGACUGAACCAUGCAGGUUUGAAAUAGGACGUAGAAUCCUUCCAUCUGAUGACUUCCUCUUACUCUGGAAGGAGAUUGGGAGUGGGGCCAGGAGAGAUGAGAGAAUUGAAGAGAGAGGAGAUGGUUUGAUACAGCCACUGCAGAAGGUGGGAGGGUUGACAUGACCAGAGAUGCGGCAGGAUGACAAGGCAGCAAUGGCCACCCUCUUAAGGUUGGUGGCUUGAACUUGUAAGAUGCCCUUUGUAAGGCCCUCUUAAGUGAUUGCCUCCAGCAGAGCUCAGCUGUCUGCUCUGGUGCAGGCUCAGAUGAGGGAAUUGCUAGGGCAGGGGAACAAAUUCCUUUUGCCAAGGAAUUGAGAACCUUGGCAAAAGGGUAGUUGACAUGAUGCAUGAUAGCAGGACAGAAGUCAAAGGGCCAAAGGAGCUCAAUCAUCGUGGAAGGAUAGGAGGUUGAAUCAGAGAUUUGGAUGCUUAAGUCUGUGGUUCAGGAGGUGGAGAAGUUUAGGAACAUGACAAAGCCAGGAUGUGAUGGGGGAGAGUAGAGAAGACAGUCACUGGAGAAUGUAAAGUCAAGAGAUUAAGAGGCAGGUUAUUGGAAUCAUCUGUGUGGAUAGUGAAACCAUCCAGCAGGGUCUGGGCAAGAACUGGGGUCAGGGUCGUGGUGUGAAGGCUAUGGAGCUAGGAGCUAGGAGAGUGAGGGAAUGACCAGGAGGUCAGAAGAUGGGAACCACCAGCUGGGGGGAUGAGCACUGUGGAAUGAUGGCAGGAUAGAGGCUCCACGAGGGAACGACUUUGAAAAUAGAUACCAGAGGCCCAGUCUGUUUCGCCCCGGUUGUCUCUAGACCCAGGGCUCUGCAGACCACUGCCACGUCCCCUCACUUCCUUCUCUUCCCCAAGAUGUCCAUCAGGGACAAGGGCAUGUGGAGGCCUCCCUCCCUCCUCCCCCUCUUCUUCCCUGGAGGCUUUGUUGUCCAUCAAAUGAAACCCGCUGGGAGCCUGGCGGUAAUCAGGAAUCCCAGGCUUGUCUCACCUCUGCUACUCACCUUCUGUCUUUCCUCAGACAGGCUGUUGACCUCUUCUGUCUCAGUUUCACUGUCUGUAAAAUGAGGAUGCUUAAACACACACCCCUCUCAGGGCAACUGUAAGGAGUAGAGGAGAUAAGAGCACCCAGCCACGUGCCGUGGAGCUGCCCCUCUCCAGCCCGAGUCCUGCAACCCCAGAGCUGGCUUCUGCCUCCUUGGUUAUGUUGAAGUCAACUCCUGCAGCCCUUUGGACACAGUUCAGAAUGAAGACCUUCCUCCUUAGUAGCUAGACCCCAUGGCCUGGUCGGUACCUCCGCCAUGGACCUCUGUCCUUCCUUCACCACAAGCCUGAGAAAGACCCCAGCACGCCCUGGAGCCAAGCGCUCACAGGUAGCGACAGAAGCAGAAAUCCCCGAAUCUCAUCUAUGCUGUGGACAAAGGUUUCUCCAAAAGGACAGCAGUAAUUUGGCAGUCUGUUAAUCAGUCCCAGGUGGGGCUGUGAAAACAACAGCCACCUUCUGUCAACAGUUAAAAUAUUAAUUUCUGAUGGAAAGUGUGGAAUUCUUAGAAUUCUAGUCCAACUCCCUUGUUCCUUACAACUGAGAAAAAGAAGGCCCCAAAAGUAGCUUUCCGGAGGCCAAAUUCCUGAUCCUAGAGAUAAUAUCUUGAAUGUUGGACAAUUAAGUCACAUGUUAAAAAUCACCUGACUUCUAAAGCAGACCCUUUCUCCGAAGGUUACUUUGACUUUGCAACAGAAAAACAUAAAACCUCAUUAUCAGAUGCAGAGGCUAGAAACCAAUGUCAUGAUUCCCCGGGGAUUUGUUCCAAAUCCCACAAAGUCCUGAUGCAGGAAGCACUCAGAAU